rnacentral:rRNA from 1 species
GAAGAACGCUAGCGGCAGGCCUAAUACAUGCAAGUCGAACGGUGUCUUCGGCCAUAGUGGCGCACGGGUGCGUAACACGUAUGCAACCUACCUUACAUUGGGGGAUAGCCUUUCGAAAGGGAGAUUAAUACCGCAUAAGACAGUAGCUGGGCAUCCAGCAGCUGUUAAAGAUUUAUCGAUGUAAGCUGGGCAUGCGUCCAAUUAGCUAGUUGGUGAGGUAACGGCUCACCAAGGCAAUGAUUGGUAGGGGAACUGAGAGGUCAAUCCCCCACACUGGCACUGAGAUACGGGCCAGACUCCUACGGGAGGCAGCAGUAGGGAAUAUUGGGCAAUGGACGCAAGUCUGACCCAGCCAUGCCGCGUGCAGGAUGAAGGCGUUAUGCGUUGUAAACUGCUUUUAUACAGGAAGAAACGACUCUUGCGAGAGGCAUUGACGGUACUGUAUGAAUAAGCACCGGCUAACUCCGUGCCAGCCGCCGCAGUAAUAC